rnacentral:rRNA from 1 species
AUUGAACGCUGGCGGCAUGCUUUACACAUGCAAGUCGAACGGUAACAGGCCGCAAGGUGCUGACGAGUGGCGAACGGGUGAGUAAUGCAUCGGAACGUGCCCAGUCGUGGGGGAUAACGCAGCGAAAGCUGCGCUAAUACCGCAUACGAUCUAUGGAUGAAAGCGGGGGACCGUAAGGCCUCGCGCGAUUGGACCGGCCGAUGUCAGAUUAGGUAGUUGGUGGGGUAAAGGCUCACCAAGCCAACGAUCUGUAGCUGGUCUGAGAGGACGACCAGCCACACUGGGACUGAGACACGGCCCAGACUCCUACGGGAGGCAGCAGUGGGGAAUUUUGGACAAUGGGCGCAAGCCUGAUCCAGCAAUGCCGCGUGCAGGAAGAAGGCCUUCGGGUUGUAAACUGCUUUUGUACGGAACGAAACGGUCCUGGUUAAUACCCGGGGCUAAUGACGGUACCGUAAGAAUAAGCACCGGCUAACUACGUGCCAGCCGCCGCUGUAAGAC